rnacentral:ncRNA from 1 species
AUAAAGUUUUAUUCUUGCUUGUUAUUUUAUUUUAAGUUUGUUUUACAUGUUAGUUUUUGCGUGAUUUUUAUUUAUUCUUAAAGAGUAAAUAAUCAAGGUUGAUUCGCAGUAUUUAAUUUUAUUAAUCAAGGAGAUUUGGAAUUAGUAAUGUUUAUUAGUACCGGCAAAAGUCGUGCCAGCCGCCGCGGUUACACGGAGGGUGCAAAUAAAUAUUGUCAGUUGAUAGUUAUAUUGUAUGAUUUUAGGAAUUAAGAGUGAAUUUAUUAGGUGAAAUUUUAAAUUUAAGGUAAUUUCUGUAGGAUAUAGAAGCUGUGAAAUUUAAAUGUUAAACUAGGAUUAGAUACCCUAUUAUUUUAAAUGUAAAUUGGCUAUACUGGAGUAGUAAUAGUUAUGGGCUUGAAACUCAAAGAAUUUGGCGGUGUUUUAGUCCUUUCAGAGGAACCUGUCCCGUGAUCGAUAGUCCACGUAAAAUCUUACUUAUUUUUGUUUUCAGCUUGUAUACCGCCGUCGUCAGAAUGUCUUAGGAGGGGUAUAAUUUUCUUAAAUUUUUAUUAGAAAUGAUGUCAGGUCAAGGUGCAGUUUAUGAAUAAGUGGAGAUGGGUUACAAUAAAUUUAUUUAAUAUGGAAAUUGUUUUGAAAUAAAUAAUAGAAAGUGGAUUUGAAGGUAAUUGGAUUAAUUAAGUUAAUUUGAUUUUGGCUCUAAAACAUGCACACAUCGCCCGUCGCUCUCGUUAUUUAAGGCGAGAUAAGUCGUAACAUAGUAGGCGUACCGGAAGGUGUGCCUGGAAAGUU